UGGGGAAUCUUCCGCAAUGGACGAAAGUCUGACGGAGCAACGCCGCGUGUAUGAUGAAGGUCUUCGGAUUGUAAAGUACUGUCAUUGGGGAAGAACGGUUUUUCUUGAGAAUAUUGAGAAGACAUGACGGUACCCAAGGAGGAAGCCCCGGCUAACUACGUGCCAGCAGCCGCGGUAAUACGUAGGGGGCAAGCGUUGUCCGGAAUUAUUGGGCGUAAAGGGCGCGUAGGCGGGCCUUUAAGUCCGGUGUGAAAGAUCAGGGCUCAACCCUGAGAGUGCAUCGGAAACUGGAGGCCUUGAGGACAGGAGAGGAAAGUGGAAUUCCACGUGUAGCGGUGAAAUGCGUAGAUAUGUGGAGGAACACCAGUGGCGAAAGGCGACUUUCUGGACUGUAACUGACGCUGAGGCGCGAAAGCGUGGGGAGCAAACAGGAUUAGAUACCCUGGUAGU
rnacentral:rRNA from 1 species